UAAAUGUUUCUUUUGUCUUUCAUCAUUCUUUCCUACAUCCUAACUUUGCCACGUGCAUCCCACACCGAGCUUGCUCCUUUCAUUAAUAGUUAGGUUCUUCAUUGUAACCGACUUGUACUUCGUUUUCACUGUGGCCGACUUGUUCUUUGAUUUGAUUGACUUCUUCUUAACCUUAGCCAACUUGUCUCUAACUGGGUUCUUUAUCGUUUUUGUGGUCGACUCAUCAUUAACCAAGUUCCUCUCAAUAGGUUGAGCUCUUUUUAAGAGAUUGAACAAUUCCCACACCUUUUUCACACCAAACUCAUCAUCCAUUUCAAGUCACCACUUCUCAUCUUGCAGCUCUAAGAUCCUUCUUGGCGUGCAACUUCUCUUGCAAACUUAACUUCUUGUUCGAGUUCCAAGUGUCGCUUAUGCAAAACCUUCUUUGUUCUCUCUAAGCUUGCCUAUAACUCUGCAUUGCCUCUAACUUCCUAAUUAAUUCUUUGUUGCAAAAUGCCUCUUUCAUCCUCAUGCUUUCAAGCUCGCCUAUGAGAGUUUGAAGCCUAACCUGCUUUACACGAUUAUCCCCUUUAUAAGCCUUCUCCAAUAUAUCCAACGCUGCUUUUGAAGAUUUAGAAUUUGCUAUCUUCUCAAAGCCGGACUCAUCGACAACUUGGUACAACACGUACAUGGCUGCUUUGUUCUUCACUCACGAUUCUCUCAAUGCAGUAAGUUGGGCAAUCGUCUGUUUUUCGAUGUCUACCGAUUCUUGGUGGCCAUUUUCAACUACUUCUCAUACUUCCUGAGAACAUAGGAGGAACUUCAUCUGCAAGAUCCAGUUGUCAUAGUUGACGCCUUUUGUUGACUUAGGUAGAGGCAUACCGUUUGCAAGGUGGCACAACAGACAGAAACAUCUGAAGUAUCAGAAUGGGAAGGUAUCCUGUUAUAACUUGGCUGACAACUGCCCUGCAACAAGCAAACACAGGAAGCUCUACUUUAGUUGCCAUUCCACACUGUUACUGUUUCUCAUCCAAAAGUAUAACAUUGCUGCAACUUACAAGCCGUCAAAGUGGAUUCAAAAUUCUUAAAAUUACAUAAUACAUCUAAUUCUGCAACUCGGUACACCCACCAAUACUGGUUCACCAAAUCUACCUAUCUAAUCCAAUUAGCCUGCAUAUGUUCUAUAUUCUAUCUCAUAAAAACUGCACAAGUAGGAGAAAUUAGAAGUACACAGCACAAAAAUGAAAAUAAGAAAUGUAUCAUUUUCAUUUUCCUGUAUAAAACAAGAAAAUAUAGUUGAUGGAAAAAGAAAAAGAAUCAAAGAGAGGGAGAGGAAUUAGAUAACUUCCUUUCCAAGUCAGAGCAAAUAAUGAAAAACAGAAAAAAAAAACGCAAUAACUCAAUACUAGUCAAGCCAACUAACAAAAUGCAACCAAAAGCUAUGAACAAAAUGUAACCCUUCUGAGUAUCAUUUGAAGACCCUCACUUGAAAAACACACAGAAAAGAAUCAAGAGGAUAGAAAAUCAAGUCUUUCCCAAAGAUGUGUACUUAAAUUGGCCAAAAAUAAUUCCCAUUUCUCAUGUAAUGCAAUGCACAAACGUUUAUAGAUUUGAUCUGAUUAUCUAGUGAGCGUAAGUA
rnacentral:sRNA from 1 species